AUGACUCCUCUCUUUACUGAUAAAAUCAACGAGAUACAUCUUACAGAGAGGCCCAAAGAUUUGGACUUGAGAGCCUGUCCUGUGAGAGAGGACGGGGAGAAGGAGGAGCGGUCAACGCGCAAUGGCAACGCUCAGAAAACAGCAACGCGGAGGGCAAACAUUUACAGCCGAGAGCGAACCAUUGAUUCUGCUGUCAUCAUAUUCAUCUUCAGGCAGACAUUUCUCAGCAAAAAUACAAACGAACUGUGCUUAAAGGAGAUCUUGAAGGACGUAAAGGCGCGUACGAAACGUGCCAGAAUCGCCCGACCAGCUUUGAUUGGAUUAAUACGCACCAGACAGGAGAGCGCCGAGACGCAUCAGUGUGCGCAACUCCUGGAGCGUCUGAUCCGCUCAGUGUUCCACAAACAUUCACCAGAGACCGUGUGGGUCGGCUGUUUCAUCCCGGAGACACAAACCCAAAUAAUCAGCAUCAAGAAAAACGCCUGCAAAGUUAUAAACUCAUCUCAAACAGCAGAUAAUACCAGGGAUACAGGGAACUCGCUUUUCUGGCCAUUCCAAUGUUUGUUCUGGCCUCAGAGAAGAAGAGCCGGAGGCCAGGCCAAUGACUCUUCAACCAGCAGGAAAAGAGGUGAUACUGGAAAUAUAGAGGAAAGCAUCCCUCUGCAAACCAAUUCCUUGUCUGCUGUACCUCGUGUGGAUGGAGAAUCAGCUGGAGGAGACAGCUGAUGACAGGACACAUGACCUGGGGCUGGAGGCAUAUCACUGUAGACAGUCCUAUUUUUACUGUGAAAUUGGCCUCAUGGUGCUACAGAGCCUUUCUACAUGUUUACAGUGUUCCUUUGUGGUGCUCAGUAUUCCCACUGCUGAGCCAACAUGAUUCUUGUCCUGAAGCAGUAUGUUGCUAAAUAGUCGCUGUUGCCAUCUUGCUUUUUUUACACAUUGUCUUUGAUGUACAAUGGUUAGUCACAAAGAGAUACUGUGACCAGUUAGUCAUAUGUUGUGCUAUUCUCUUUGGGGUUUUUUUCCACCUAGAUAGAGAUUUACCUGCAUAUUUCACUAGGCUUACAGCAGAAGUACUCCUUUUUAAAAUGAUGCUGAACACUGGAUUACCUACUGGCCCCAGAACGGUGGCUUCAAGAACCCAAGGCUUCUUGUGUGUCAUCUGGUUUGUGCUAAUUGUAUUGACAAUUAAUUGAGAAUAAACACUGCCAAAUCACAACAUCAACUGACAUAAUAAGGUCUUGCUUCUUUAAUAGGGGCCCAGCAGCUUCUUUUUUUUUUUUGCCCCUGAGCCCCCCAGCAGGUUAAUCCAGCCAUGGUCAAUCUUUUCUUUUUUUCACUUUCAUUUAUUAGAAUUGUGUGCCUUAGAUGAGUGCUAUUGAUAAAAGCAUUAUCUGUUAAAAUAAAAAAAAAAGGAUGACAAUACUUUUCACUUUUUGUGUUAUGUAUGUAGGCUUCUGGUCUAGACAGACAGACAGACAGACAGACAGACAGAUAUACUUUAUUAAUCCUCGAAGGGAAAUUGGGUCGUCAUAGCAGCCAGGUACAUUUAAAUACAAUAAAAUACAACAAUAGAAUAAAAUACUUGGGUAGAAAAGAUUAAAAAAAAGAUAAACAGGUAGAUAAGGUGUAAAGAAGGUGUAGUUGCACGAUGGUAGUAAUAGUACUGAAUAUUAGUCUGUACAUUUAUAAUAUAGCCUAAAUAUAUAAAUAAACACAUUAAAGCUUGUGUGCAUUGAAAAGAACAUUAACUUUCAACAGACUACAAAUAGGACAGUGGGGGAUCUGGUUAGUGACUGAGUAUAAAUAAAUGAAUUAACCCUGUACUGUCAUUUAUUUACUGAGCCCUGCAUGACAGCCACGUUAAUGUCCAAGGACCCCAUUUGUUAGGCAACCAACCACCAACAGCGACAGAAAGGCAAAAGAACUGAUUCACGAUAGACCACCAUCAGAAAAGCCCGUCCAUAAAUCGGAUACGUUCAAUUAAUCUAUCCCCAUAAUAUAUAUUUUUUUUACAUUAGAUGAAAACUAAAUGAAAACAAAUGUUUUAAGGUACUACGAAUUGACGCGACCCUGCGAAGAUACAAUGGCUACUAUUAUAUUUAUGUGUAUUUUCAAUCAGGCUUAAAAGAGGCCUGCCUGCUCGGAGGUCCUUGUACAACGGACUUGCGGUACCGGACAAAAAGGAGUUAGCAGCGGCUGCGUUUGGUUCCACUGCUGUGCAUUUUCAGACACUACAAACCUUUUAUUUUCCUUAUCUUCCCGAAACAAUCGCACGGAUUCCCGCCGUCGAACCAGGAUCGUGGGGCUGAGGAGGGAAUAAAGAGCCAAUCAUGAUAACAUCCGCCGGUAGGUCGUAGGAGAGGGUUUUAGCUGCCUGCCAUUGAUUUAGCUGAGUCACACAGCUAAUGUUGUCAGUUAGCCUGUAGCCGGUUAUAACCAAUAAAUCCACGGAAAUACUAUUCAGGAUGGAGUAGCCCUUUGAAAUGUGUCUUUAGUGUAACAAUGUGACGAAUUUAUUCCCUGCACGGCGGUUAAAAUAUAUUAUUUCGUUAGUAGUUAAUGUAAGGUUAAUGCUAACAGUCAGUACACUGUACAGGCUGUUUAAGUAGGUGUUCAAGUUCAUGUUUAUACAAACACAGGAAUGGUUUUUCAUCUUGGAAAUAAAUAUAACAUGUUAGCGUUCAUAUAAUACUCCCUACUGUCAGGGUAGUUUCUUUUCCUUGAAGCGAAACAGGGUUUUACUUGACCACUGACCCUGUUAAUCCUGCUAACGUUACGUUACAAUAUGUUUGACAUCUGCCUUUCUUUGUUAGUUAUAAUGUGAAGGUGUAUCAUUAAAUAUAGUUAAUUAGUGUUUUUUAUAAUUAGGUAAACUUUUGAUCAAAUGCAUUGUGCUUGUAAUGUCUCUUAGUGAAGAAAUAAUUAUGGACAAAUGUUGUAUUUUGAAGUAAGAGCAGUACUAAUCCCUCAUAUGUUCUACCUACCAUACUGUAGACUGCACUGGAAUAUAA
rnacentral:lncRNA from 15 species